CCUACGGGUGGCAGCAGUGAGGAAUAUUGGUCAAUGGGCGCGAGCCUGAACCAGCCAAGUAGCGUGAAGGAUGACUGCCCUACGGGUUGUAAACUUCUUUUAUAAAAGAAUAAAGUGAGGCACGUGUGCCUUUCUGUAUGUACUUUAUGAAUAAGGAUCGGCUAACUCCGUGCCAGCAGCCGCGGUAAUACGGAGGAUCCGAGCGUUAUCCGGAUUUAUUGGGUUUAAAGGGAGCGUAGACGGGUUGUUAAGUCAGUUGUGAAAGUUUGCGGCUCAACCGUAGAAUUGCAAUUGAUACUGGCAGUCUUGAGUACAGUUGAGGUAGGCGGAAUGCGUGGUGUAGCGGUGAAAUGCUUAGAGAUCACGCAGAACUCCGAUUGCGAAGGCAGCUUACUAAACUGCCACUGACAUUGAGGCUCGAAAGUGUGGGGAUCAAACAGGAUUAGAUACCCGGGUAGUC
rnacentral:rRNA from 1 species